rnacentral:rRNA from 1 species
GCGACGAUCAGUAGCGGGUCUGAGAGGAUGAUCCGCCACACUGGAACUGAGACACGGUCCAGACUCCUACGGGAGGCAGCAGUGGGGAAUUUUGGACAAUGGGGGCAACCCUGAUCCAGCCAUUCCGCGUGAGUGAAGAAGGCCUUCGGGUUGUAAAGCUCUUUCGGCAGGAACGAAACGGUUACGGCCAAUACCCGUGACUAAUGACGGUACCUGAAGAAGAAGCACCGGCUAACUACGUGCCAGCAGCCGCGGUAAUACGUAGGGUGCGAGCGUUAAUCGGAAUUACUGGGCGUAAAGCGUGCGCAGGCGGCUUUUUAAGCCAGAUGUGAAAUCCCCGGGCUUAACCUGGGAACUGCAUUUGGAACUGGAAGGCUAGAGUGCGGCAGAGGGGGGUAGAAUUCCACGUGUAGCAGUGAAAUGCGUAGAGAUGUGGAGGAAUACCGAUGGCGAAGGCAGCCCCCUGGGUCGACACUGACGCUCAUGCACGAAAGCGUGGGGAGCAAACAGGAUUAGAUACCCUGGUAGUCCACGCCCUAAACGAUGUCUACUAGUUGUUGGAGGAGUGAAAUCCUUUAGUAACGAAGCUAACGUCGUGAAGUAGACCGCGUGGGGAGUACGUUCGCAAGAUUAAAACUCAAAGGGAUUGACGGGGACCCGCACAAGCGGUGGAUGAUGUGAAUUAAUUCGAUGCUACGCGAAGAACCUUACCUACCCUUGACAUGUCCGAAACUUUCCAGAGAUGGAUUGGUGCCCGAAAGGGAAUCGGAACACAGGUGCUGCAUGGCUGUCGUCAGCUCGUGUCGUGAGAUGUUGGGUUAAGUCCCGCAACGAGCGCAACCCUUGUCCUUAGUUGCUACGCAAGGGCACUCUAAGGAGACUGCCGGUGACAAACCGGAGGAAGGUGGGGAUGACGUCAAGUCCUCAUGGCCCUUAUGGGUAGGGCUUCACACGUCAUACAAUGGUCGGUACAGAGGGUUGCCAAGCCGCGAGGUGGAGCCAAUCCCACAAAGCCGAUCGUAGUCCGGAUUGUUCUCUGCAACUCGAGAGCAUGAAGUCGGAAUCGCUAGUAAUCGCAGGUCAGCAUACUGCGGUGAAUACGUUCCCGGGUCUUGUACACACCGCCCGUCACACCAUGGGAGUGGGUUGCAAAAGAAGUAGGUAGUCUAACCGCAAGGAGGGCGCUUACCACUUUGUG